rnacentral:rRNA from 1 species
GAGUUUGAUCAUGGCUCAGAACGUACGCUGGCGGCACGCCUAACACAUGCAAGUCGAACGCAGUAGCAAUACUGAGUGGCAAACGGGUGAGUAUAAUGUGGGUAUCUGCCUUUUGGUUUGGAAUAACACGAGGAAACUUGUGCUAAUACCGAAUAAGCCCUUACGGGGAAAGUUUUAACGCCGAAAGAUGAGCCCGCACUUGAUUAGCUAGUUGGUAAGGUAAAGGCUUACCAAGGCAACGAUCAAUAGCUGUUCUUAGAGGAAGACCAGCCACAUUGGGACUGAGACACGGCCCAGACUCCUACGGGAGGCAGCAGUGGGGAAUCUUGCACAAUGGGGGAAACCCUGAUGCAGCGAUGCCGCGUGAGUGAAGAAGGCCUUUGGGUUGUAAAACUCUUUCGUCGGGGAAGAAAAUGACUGUACCCGAAUAAGAAGGUCCGGCUAACUUCGUGCCAGCAGCCGCGGUAAUACGAAGGGACCUAGCGUAGUUCGGAAUUACUGGGCUUAAAGAGCUCGUAGGUGGUUAAAAAAGUUGAUGGUGAAAUCCCAAGGCUCAACCUUGGAACUGCCAUCAAAACUUUUUAGCUAGAGUGUGAUAGAGGUAAGUGGAAUUUCUAGUGUAGAGGUGAAAUUCGUAGAUAUUAGAAAGAACACCAAAUGCGAAGGCAACUUACUGGGUCACUACUGACACUGAGGAGCGAAAGCAUGGGUAGCGAAGAGGAUUAGAUACCCUCGUAGUCCAUGCCGUAAACGAUGUGUGCUAGACGUUGGAAAUAUAUUUUUCAGUGUCGCAGCGAAAGCAUUAAGCACACCGCCUGGGGAGUA